AAUUUUUUUAGUAAUUGAUCAAUAUUUGUAAAAUAUUAUUGUUUUAAUUACCACACAGUAUGGGAUUAUACUCUGUUAUGCCUGACAGGUUUCUUUCGCUAUUAUAGAGUAUCCUCAAUUUCCAAGAGGAAGAAUGCUUGUAUAUUUGUAUAUAAUAUGCUACUGGAAUAUGAAUUUAAGCUUUCAAUUAAAUAAUUAUGCAUUAUGUAAGUGAAUUUCCUAGUAUUUAUUAUGAAGGCUCACGCAAGUAAUUUACUAAAAUUAGUAUAGGGUGAAGCUGGGUACCUUAGAAGAAGCCUUUUUACGCCUUUCUAAAAGCAGAAUCUUUCAAUUGAUUUGGAUUUACUAGCUUGAACCAUUUUUUUCAACAUCAUUUGGUAUGAAGUCUUUGUAAGGCAAGUUAAUCGGUGAAUAAAAUUUCAUUGAAUUUAACAAAUAUUCAACUGUCAUUAAAUUUUUCUAAAUGAAACCAUUAAUCUUAGGCCCUGAGCA